rnacentral:antisense_RNA from 1 species
AAGCAGGCAAUUACACAUCUCUAAGUGCUGGGAAAGAGAAAGAACACCGUGUUAUGUAGUCACCAAUGGAGGAUGCAUAAUCCUGCCCUGAAUAUCAGUGAAGACUUCUUGGAAAAGAUGGCAUGUAAGUUGAGGUCCACAGGAUGAGUUGGAGUUAGCCAAGUGACACUUGGAGAAAAGAGUGCUUCAGUUGGAGAAAAGAGUGCUUCAGAUGCAGAAGAGAGUGCUUUGGGACAACACGAACCUGCAAGUAAUCAUCGGACCAGCUUCCUCUACUGUUUGGGAAUUGCAGGCGGAGGUUGCAGUGAGCUGAGAUUGCGCCACUGCACUCCAGUCUGGUGACAGAACAAGACUCCGUCUCAAAAAAAAAAAAAAAAAAAAAAAAAAUCAUCUCCACUAUAGAAUUUCAGAGGUUGUAUAAUCUUGAGAGGUCACUUCAACUAUACAAUUGGACUGAGAACUCUGACUCUCGUGGGUGUUAUAAUUAAAUGAGGUAAUAUAUGGGAAGGUAAGCAUUGAUUAGUCUCUUCAUUAGUUGAUUAGCCUCUUCAAAUGUUAGUUUGAUUAGUCUCUUCAAACGUUAGUUUCCUUCCUCUUCUU